AUUGAACGCUGGCGGCAGGCCUAACACAUGCAAGUCGAGCGAGCGGCGGACGGGUGAGUAAUGUAUGGGGCUCUGCCCGGGAGAGGGGGAUAGGUACUGGAAACGGUUGCCAAUACCGUCUUCUUUCGGAUGAACCAGUAUUGGAUUAGCUAGUGGGUGGGGUAAAGGCACACCUAGACGCCGAUCUCUAGCUGGUCUGAGAGGAUGAUCAGCCACACUGGAACUGAGACACGGCCCAGACUCCUACGGGAGGCAGCAGUGGGGAAUAUUGCACAAUGGGCGCAAGCCUGAUGCAGCCAUGCCGCGUGUAUGAAGAAGGCCUUCGGGUUGUAAAGCACUUUCAGCUGGGAGGCGUUACCCGCAGAAUAAGCACCGGCUAACUCCGUGCCAGCAGCCGCGGUAAUAC
rnacentral:rRNA from 1 species